AUCUGUCUGGUUCAUAAGCAUGAUUGGAUUUUCAUGCUUUUGUGUGAGAUGUGCCUCCCUCUAAACCUUGUUACUAUAUCAGCACAUUACACACGUGAUG
ensembl:snoRNA